GCUGGGUGUGGUAGUGCACGCCUGUAAUCCCAGCUACUCAGGAGGCUGAGGCAGAAGAAUCGCUUGAACCCGGGAGGUGGAGGUUGCAGUGAGCGGAGAUCAUGCCACUGCAUUCCAGCCUGGGUGACAGAUCGAGACUCUGUCUCAA
ensembl:misc_RNA Metazoa_SRP Metazoan signal recognition particle RNA